rnacentral:rRNA from 1 species
GAUGAACGCUAGCGGCAGGCCUAAUACAUGCAAGUCGAGGGGUAGUGGUUGCUUGCAACCAUGAGACCGGCGCACGGGUGCGUAACGCGUAUGCAACCUACCUUCAUCUGGGGGAUAGCCCGGAGAAAUCCGGAUUAACACCGCAUAAAAUCACAGUACGGCAUCGUACAAUGAUCAAAUAUUUAUAGGAUGGAGAUGGG